UCCCUGGUGGCUCAGACGGUAAAGCGUCUGCCUGCAAUGCAGGAGAUCCAGGUUCAAUCCCUGAGUUGGGAA
rnacentral:tRNA from 1 species